GCCGAAGGCCAAACCAACCUGGACUCACCCGAUCUCAUCUGAUCUCAGAAGCUAAGCAGAGUCGGGACUGGCUAGUACUUGGAUGGGAGAUCGCCUGGGAAUACCGGGGGUCGUAGGCU
rnacentral:rRNA from 1 species